rnacentral:rRNA from 1 species
ACAUGCCUACAACAUAGAGUUAAAGCACUAGAUCCCAUUAGAACUUUGUAGUUAAGCACACUCGGGCUAGAGUAGUACUGGGAUGGGCGACCACCCAAGAAGUCCUAGUAUUUUACAUGCC